UGAUUCUCAGCAUUCCAUUCUAUAUCUUUUAUCAAUGUCCAUUAGCUUUCUAAGUCCUGGUAACUCUGGUGCACAGCCUCUGGUUCUGCAGCUAAAACAGCCCUUGCCCAAAGAGGACUCUUUCUAACAGUCCUCCAAAUAUGGACACAAAACCUGUGUCUAACAAGCUAACUAACAGCUGGGAGGAUAGAGAACCUGUCAAAUAGAGUGGGAGUUUAGGGAUGUCUUAGAUUUUCGACGGAAUAGAAGCACGCUUACUAGUCUAGUUGUGACCAUCUCAAUACAAUUUUACUAACACCUCCUUAGAUUGACAGUCAAUGACCCCUUGUUUUAAAAACUAAACGCAAAGUUUUUUAUGGGAGAGAAUAUCAUCCCACUCUGCCCAUCUAGCAUGGCAGUGGCCAUUAUGUUACCUUCCAGCAUCCCCAGAGCUCCUAUUUGUGUGGAGAGCUACUACAGCCCCCCCAAUCUCCAAAUCAAAUUUAGCCACUUGAUUUAACCAGGCAUGUAUGGGAGUCUGGAACUAAAGACCUCAUGGAUUUUUUUUUCAUUUAUUUUCUAGUUGAUGAUGAGAGUUUUCUGAAUUUGGAGGCUUUUUACUUCAAUCAUUUUGUGUGUAGUGGGAGGAGAGCUAUCCCUAUGCCACAUCUCUCUUGGACAUCUUCCAACAGAUUACGUUGAAGCAUUAUCUUUUAUUGGAAAGUAUACCUGGUAUCUGACAGGAAAGUGACAAACUUAUUUUUGAAAGCAAACAAAAGUUCUUUAUUUGAGGAUAUAGGCUUCGCAUAACAGCUUAUUUCAUCAAAAGAGAGAUUCACCUUCAUUGUAUUGUGGGGAAGCCGAGUUAUGAUGUCUCUGCUAUAUACUUGGCCCUGUCUCAUAGCAUUUGGCAGUGAGAGAGAAAGAGGUACUCUAAGCAGGAGAAUGGCAUGGACAGGCAACUCCUAUACUGCUGCUGGAGAGAAGAUGUGCAAUGGCAACACAAUUAAACCAGAGAAUGGAACAUUGAUACUGUCUUUACUUUUAAUAGUGCCCUUCUUUUUGAAACUUCAGCCCUCAAAACUCACUAAUUGUAGAAUGCUAUUUACAGAGUGGUAUAGUAAAUUGAGUUCCUGUUUUGGAAUGAGGAAAACAUAGGUUUCUGCUCUGCUGUGGACAUGUACUGGGACAUAUAGAUCUACUGGACAAGUCACUCUCUUAACAUUUUAGUAUCCCAGGCUACUCUCCAAGAUGGUAAGUUGAAGAGCAG
rnacentral:lncRNA from 1 species